CUUGAUUGCAAUCCAUGGUUCCUUGGGGAGUCAGUCAGUGAGCUCAGAAGAAAUCCGUCGACUACUGAGAUUGCUGAGAGUGGAUGAAUCUGAGUCUGUUCACCCUUAUGUCACUCCCGUGACUCGAGCAAUCCUGACAAUGGCCCGAAAACUAAGUCUAGAGAGUGCCCUCCAGUAUUUCAAUUUGUCACAUAGUAUGGCAGGAAUUUCUGUGCCUCCCAUACAGAAAUGGCCAGGGUCUGCCUUUUCUUUCAGUGCUUGGUUUUGCUUAGACCAGGAUCAGUUGACUCUUGGCAUUGCUAACAAAGGAGGGAAAAGGAAACAAUUGUACAGUUUUUUUACAGGAAGUGGCGUGGGUUUUGAAGCCUUUAUUACCCAUUCAGGUAUGUUGGUCGUGGCAGUGUGCACAAAAAGAGAAUAUGCAACGGUUAUGCUUCCUGACCACAGUUUCUGUGAUUCCCUCUGGCACAACGUAACUGUUGUCCACAUGCCUGGAAAAAGGCCUUUUGGUCAGAGCUUCGUCUAUAUCUAUGACAAUGGACAACAGAAGGUUUCUGCCCCUCUCAGAUUUCCUGCCAUGAAUGAACCCUUUACUUCCUGUUGCAUUGGUUCAGCUGGGCAAAGAACCACCACUCCUCCACCAUCCCAAAUCCCAGAUCCACCUUUCUCUUCUCCCAUUACCCCUCAUCGGACAUCAUUUGGUGGAAUUCUGUCAUCAGCCUCCUGGGGAGGAACAAUUGAAAAAUCAAAAUUGAUUACCAAAUUGAUAUCAGCUGGAACCCAAGACAGUGAAUGGGGGUGUCCCACAUCUCUGCAGGGUCAGCUAGGAUCUGUUAUCAUCUUUUAUGAACCACUACAACCUCCUCAGGUGAAGGCAUUAUAUUUAGCAGGUCCAAAUUGUUUAAGCCCUUGGAAGUGUCAAGAGUCUGACAUGGCCGACCUGCCUGGUAACAUCCUUCUUUACUACACAGCAAAGGUCAG
rnacentral:lncRNA from 1 species